GUUUGCGAUCAUACAAACACUAAUGCAUCGGAUCCCAUCAGAACUCCGAAGUUAAGCGUGCUUGCGCGAGAGUAGUACUAGGAUUCGUGACCUCUUGGGAAGUACUUGUGUUGCACCCC
rnacentral:rRNA from 1 species